rnacentral:rRNA from 1 species
GAUGAACGCUAGCGGCAGGCUUAACACAUGCAAGUCGAGGGGUAUGCCGAUUUAUCGGCAGAGACCGGCGCACGGGUGCGUAACGCGUAUGCAAUCUACCUUUCACAGAGGGAUAGCCCAGAGAAAUUUGGAUUAAUACCUCAUAGUAUAGCAAUUUCGCAUGAAACCACUAUUAAAGUUCCAACGGUGAAAGAUGAGCAUGCGUCCCAUUAGCUAGAUGGUAAGGUAACGGCUUACCAUGGCUACGAUGGGUAGGGGUCCUGAGAGGGAGAUCCCCCACACUGGUACUGAGACACGGACCAGACUCCUACGGGAGGCAGCAGUGAGGAAUAUUGGUCAAUGGACGCAAGUCUGAACCAGCCAUGCCGCGUGCAGGAUGACGGUCCUAUGGAUUGUAAACUGCUUUUGUACGAGAAGAAACAACAUUACGUGUAAUGUCUUGACGGUAUCGUAAGAGUAAGGAUCGGCUAACUCCGUGCCAG